AUUGAACGCUGGCGGCGUGCCUAACACAUGCAAGUCGAUCGGUAACAGGUGUAGCAAUACAUGCUGACGAGAGGCGGACGGGUGAGUAACGCUUGGGAAUCUGCCUAUUAGUGGGGGACAACCCGGGGAAACUCGGGCUAAUACCGCAUACGCUCUACGGAGGAAAGCCGGGGACCGCAAGGCCUGGCGCUAAUAGAUGAGCCCAAGUCGGAUUAGCUAGUUGGUAGGGUAAUGGCCUACUAAGGCGACGAUCCGUAGCUGGUCUGAGAGGACGACCAGCCACACUGGGACUGAGACACGGCCCAGACUCCUACGGGAGGCAGCAGUGGGGAAUAUUGGACAAUGGGGGAAACCCUGAUCCAGCGACGCCGCGUGGGUGAAGAAGGCCUGCGGGUUGUAAAGCCCUUUCGGUGGGGAAGAAAAGCCUCGACCUAACACGUCGGGGUAUUGACGUAACCCACAAAAGAAGCACCGGCUAACUCUGUGCCAGCAGCCGCGGUAAU
rnacentral:rRNA from 1 species